rnacentral:rRNA from 1 species
AUUGAACGCUAGCGGGAUGCCUUACACAUGCAAGUCGAACGGAGUGGGGAACGGGUGCGUAAUGUAUCGGAACGUGCCCAGUAGCGGGGGAUAACUACGCGCAAGCGUAGCUAAUACCGCAUACUAUUGGAGCUGCCGAUAUCGGAGUAGCUAGUGUGUGGGGUAACGGCUCACCAAGGCGACGAUCCGUAGCCGGUUUGAGGGGACGACCAGCCCAACGGGGACUGAGACACGGCCCAGACUCCUACGGGAGGUAGAAGUGGGGAAUUUUGGAAAAUGGGGGAAACCCUGAUCCAGCCAGCCGGCGUGGGCGAUGAAGGCCUGCGGGUUGUAAAGCACUUUUGGCAGGAAAGCGGUACCCGCAGAAUAAGCACCGGCUAACUACGUGCCAGCAGCCGCGGUAAUAC